rnacentral:rRNA from 1 species
AGUCGAGCGGAUGAAGGGAGCUUGCUCCCUGAUUCAGCGGCGGACGGGUGAGUAAUGCCUAGGAAUCUGCCUGGUAGUGGGGGACAACGUCUCGAAAGGGACGCUAAUACCGCAUACGUCCUACGGGAGAAAGCAGGGGACCUUCGGGCCUUGCGCUAUCAGAUGAGCCUAGGUCGGAUUAGCUAGUUGGUGAGGUAAUGGCUCACCAAGGCGACGAUCCGUAACUGGUCUGAGAGGAUGAUCAGUCACACUGGAACUGAGACACGGUCCAGACUCCUACGGGAGGCAGCAGUGGGGAAUAUUGGACAAUGGGCGAAAGCCUGAUCCAGCCAUGCCGCGUGUGUGAAGAAGGUCUUCGGAUUGUAAAGCACUUUAAGUUGGGAGGAAGGGCAUUAACCUAAUACGUUGGUGUUUUGACGUUACCGACAGAAUAAGCACCGGCUAACUCUGUGCCAGCAGCCGCGGUAAUACAGAGGGUGCAAGCGUUAAUCGGAAUUACUGGGCGUAAAGCGCGCGUAGGUGGUUUGUUAAGUUGGAUGUGAAAUCCCCGGGCUCAACCUGGGAACUGCAUCCAAAACUGGCAGGCUAGAGUAGGGCAGAGGGUGGUGGAAUUUCCUGUGUAGCGGUGAAAUGCGUAGAUAUAGGAAGGAACACCAGUGGCGAAGGCGACCACCUGGGCUCAUACUGACACUGAGGUGCGAAAGCGUGGGGGAGCAACAGGAUUAGAUACCCUGGUAGUCCACGCC